UCGGCGUGCCUAAUACAUGCAAGUUGAGCGAUGAAGAUUGGUGCUUGCACCAAUUUGAAGAGCAGCGAACGGGUGAGUAACGCGUGGGGAAUCUGCCUUUGAGCGGGGGACAACAUUUGGAAACGAAUGCUAAUACCGCAUAAUAACUUUAAACAUAAGUUUUAAGUUUGAAAGAUGCAAUUGCAUCACUCAAAGAUGAUCCCGCGUUGUAUUAGCUAGUUGGUGAGGUAAAGGCUCACCAAGGCGAUGAUACAUAGCCGACCUGAGAGGGUGAUCGGCCACAUUGGGACUGAGACACGGCCCAAACUCCUACGGGAGGCAGCAGUAGGGAAUCUUCGGCAAUGGACGAAAGUCUGACCGAGCAACGCCGCGUGAGUGAAGAAGGUUUUCGGAUCGUAAAACUCUGUUGGUAGAGAAGAACGUUGGUGAGAGUGGAAAGCUCAUCAAGUGACGGUAACUACCCAGAAAGGGACGGCUAACUACGUGCCAGCAGCCGCGGUAAUACGUAGGUCCCGAGCGUUGUCCGGAUUUAUUGGGCGUAAAGCGAGCGCAGGUGGUUUAUUAAGUCUGGUGUAAAAGGCAGUGGCUCAACCAUUGUAUGCAUUGGAAACUGGUAGACUUGAGUGCAGGAGAGGAGAGUGGAAUUCCAUGUGUAGCGGUGAAAUGCGUAGAUAUAUGGAGGAACACCGGUGGCGAAAGCGGCUCUCUGGCCUGUAACUGACACUGAGGCUCGAAAGCGUGGGGAGCAAACAGGAUUAGAUACCCUGGUAGUCCACGCCGUAAACGAUGAGUGCUAGAUGUAGGGAGCUAUAAGUUCUCUGUAUCGCAGCUAACGCAAUAAGCACUCCGCCUGGGGAGUACGACCGCAAGGUUGAAACUCAAAGGAA
rnacentral:rRNA from 1 species